CCCAGCUACUUGGGAAACCGAGGUGGGAGGGUUGCUUGAGCCCAUGAGGCUCAAGAUUGCAGUAAGAUAUGAUCACACUACUGCACUCCAGCCUGGGUAACACAGGAAAACUUUGUCUCUAAAAAAAAUAAUAAAAAAAGCAGAAUCAGCAGUUUUGUGACCUUAAAACAUCUAUCAGAGACAGCAUAGACCUGUCUGACCAGUAGACUAAAGCAAAAAUGCCUGAAUUAUAUUUAACUGACAAUUCUGAAGCUAUUUCUGUAACUGCCUGAUGGGUUCUUUCUGCCCGAUGCCCAAACUCAAUUCAUUGAAACCGUGGCAUUGUAGUAAAGAAAAAGUUUAACUGACGUGAGGCCAGCCCAUACAGGAGAACUGGAGUUAGCAUUCAAACCAGUCUCCAUGAAGGCUGGGAGGCUAGGGUUUUUUGUGGACAAUUUGGUGUGCAGGGGCCUAGGGAAUGGAUACUGCUGAUUGGUUGGAGAUGAAUCAUAGGGGUUUGGAAAACAGUACUCAUCCCCUGAGUCUAUAACACUUCUGGGUGGGGCCAUAGGACCAGGUGAGUCAUGAGUUAUGGAUCUGGGUGGGGUCAGUCUGUAAAACAUCUCAAAAAAACCAUCUUAGUUUCUACAAUAGAAUGUUAUCUAUAAGAGCAAUCAGGGAAGCCACAAAUCUUAUGACCUCUGGAAACAAGACCCCUGAGCAGUAUGGGAUUAUAGAAACUAUGCCUACAUGUUAGUGGAGUUCAGGCCCUCCCAUAAUCCUAUUCUUGUGGCCUUUCCUUAGUCUCACAAAGGUGGUUUUUGGUCCCUGAGCAACGAGGGGAUUAGUUUUAGGGAGGGACUAUUAUCCUUGGUUUCAAGUUCAACUAUAAACUAAAUUCCUCAGAAAGUUAGCAAGGCCUAUGAAAUGACUAAGGACAGUUUAGGGGUCAGAAGCAAGAUGGAGUCAACUAUGUCAGAUUUUUC
rnacentral:lncRNA from 1 species